CCUACGGGAGGCAGCAGUGGGGAAUAUUGGACAAUGGGCGCAAGCCUGAUCCAGCCAUGCCGCGUGAGUGACGAAGGCCUUAGGGUUGUAAAGCUCUUUUGGCGGGGAAGAUAAUGACGGUACCCGCAGAAUAAGCUCCGGCUAACUUCGUGCCAGCAGCCGCGGUAAUACGAAGGGAGCUAGCGUUGUUCGGAAUCACUGGGCGUAAAGCGCACGUAGGCGGAUGUGUCAGUCAGGGGUGAAAUCCCGGAGCACAACUUCGAAACUGCCCUUGAUACAGCACGUCUCGAGUCCGAGAGAGGUGAGUGGAAUUCCUAGUGUAGAGGUAAAAUUCGUAGAUAUUAGGAAGAACGCCGGUGGCGAAGGCGGCUCACGGGCUCGGGACUGAUGCUGAGGGGCGAAAGCGGGGGGAGCAAACAGGAUUAGAUACCCCUGUAGU
rnacentral:rRNA from 1 species